GGAGGUUUAGCUCAGCUGGGAGAGCACCUGCCUUACAAGCAGGGGGUCAGCGGUUCGAACCCGUUAACCUCCACCA
rnacentral:tRNA from 9 species